UGGCUGCUCCUCUCUCAGACUGCGUUGAGAAUCUGAUGUUUUUUUCCAAAGAUAUCUCCAUUAAAUGUGUUUUUAAAUCCUCCGGAGGCGUUCAGGAGCAUCUGCUGCAGCCGCUGCUCGGUGUUCACGAUCAAUUGUGAAGCUGACCAUUGAGCGGCCCGACCAAGCAAGGAGGCAGAGUUCAAAUACAACCCGGUGUGGGCAUUUAUUCAUCGCUGUGGUACAUGAUACACAGCCUCAAUAUGACUGUCUCAUGUGAACACAGUCAUCAGCAACAAGGACACACACACUCACACUCACACACACACACACACACUAACAGGAAAACAGAGCCUAAAUACCCACAGACUAAUCAAACGAACAAGACACAGGUGAGGGUGGAGGAGACGACACAGGGCAACAGACAAGACGGGAGGGGGAACACUUUUCAAAAUAAAACGGGAGACAGACAAACUAAAACAGACAGAUGCACAAAUUACAUACAAACACACGCUGCAACGUUCCAGGUCGGAACAAACCAAUAACGAAGCUAUACCAUCCGUAACGGAGGCCGAGAUCUACGGGCCCAGAGAUCACCAUUAGUGAUAGACCGUUAGAAAUCUUGGCUUCCCUGCAAGGUUUCUGCUUCCCUUGUGCAGCAUGGUUUCCUCAGAGGGGGGCGUGAAGUCGAAAGGAAGCUUCCCUUUCUUCCUCUCCAGCUCCAAAACUCUGACAGAGAUUUGAUCCUGAGGUUCGGGAUCCCUCCGUUCUUCAGAGAGCAUUGACUGCAACCUUUCCAGCUGAGGUCAUGUUGAAGACGACCUGCAGCCGAGGACCUCCACCUGACGGUCACCCCCCCCCAUCAUGUUGAAGACGACCUGCAGCCGAGGACCUCCACCUGACGACACCGCCCCCUGCAGGUGAACUCCCCUCAGACUCCGCCCCCUGCAGCUGAACUCUCCUCAGACUCCGCCCCCUGCAGCUGAACUCUCCUCAGACUCCGCCCCCUGCAGCUGAACUCUCCUCAGACUCCGCCCCCUGCAGGUGAACUCUCCUCAGACUCCGCCCCUGCAGGAGAACUCCCCUCACACUCUGUUCCUCGCACAGACCUGUAGACACACCCCUGUUCCUCACACACCUGUAGCCACACCCCUGUUCCUCACACACCUGUAGCCACACCCCUGUUCCUCACACACCUGUUCCUCAUACACCUGUUCCUCAUACACCUGGAGCCACACCUAUAGCCCCCCCUGUUCCUCACACACCUGUAGCCACACCCCUGUUCCUCACACACCUGUAGCCACACCCCUGUUCCUCACACACCUGUAGCCCAUACUUGCCAACCCUCCCGAUUUCACUGCCCUCUCCCGGUUUCCUCCCGGGGUCAUAUUUCUCCCGAUUUCUGAC